rnacentral:rRNA from 1 species
UACGAAGGGGGCUAGCGUUGCUCGGAAUCACUGGGCGUAAAGGGUGCGUAGGCGGGUCUUUAAGUCAGGGGUGAAAUCCUGGAGCUCAACUCCAGAACUGCCUUUGAUACUGAGGAUCUUGAGUUCGGGAGAGGUGAGUGGAACUGCGAGUGUAGAGGUGAAAUUCGUAGAUAUUCGGAAGAACACCAGUGGCGAAGGCGACUCACUGGCCCGAUACUGACGCUGAGGCGCGACAGCGUGGGGAGCAAACAGG